rfam:Trichobilharzia regenti genome assembly, scaffold: TRE_scaffold0000789
GUACUGCUGAAGAGUCCCAAACUAGGACGAAACAGAUGUCCAGUAC